rnacentral:miRNA from 1 species
UUAUGAUGUAGAUUCUUCAU